GACGAACGCUGGCGGCGUGCUUAACACAUGCAAGUCGAACGGAGAUAGAAGAGGAAGCUUGCGAAUCUUUUAUCUUAGUGGCGGACGGGUGAGUAACGCGUGGGUAACCUGCCCCAAGGACCGGGCAACAGUUGGAAACGACUGCUAAUACCGGAUGUGUUCACGGGAGGACAUCCUCCUGUGAAGAAAGGUGGCCUCUGCAUAUGCUACCGCUUUGGGAUGGACCCGCGUCUGAUUAGCUAGUUGGCGAGGUAACGGCUCACCAAGGCGACGAUCAGUAGCCGGCCUGGGAGGGUGAUCGGCCACACUGGGACUGAGACACGGCCCAGACUCCUACGGGAGGCAGCAGUGGGGAAUCUUCCGCAAUGGGCGAAAGCCUGACGGAGCAACGCCGCGUGAAUGAAGAAGGCCUUCGGGUCGUAAAGUUCUGUCUUUAGGGAAGAAGUCCGUCUUUGUAAAUAAUGGAGACGGGAGACGGUACCUGAGGAGGAAGCUCCGGCUAACUAC
rnacentral:rRNA from 1 species